CACCGCGGUUAUACGAGAGGUCCAAAUUGACAGCCAUCGGCGUAAAGAGUGGUUAUAGACCCCUACACAACUAAAGCCAAAACUCCUCCCAGCUGUCAUACGCACCCGAAGACAAGAGGCCCAACCACGAAAGUAGCUUUAAUCACAAACCCCUAGAACCCACGACAGCCAGGACA
rnacentral:rRNA from 1 species